rnacentral:rRNA from 1 species
UACAGAGGUCCCAAGCGUUGUUCGGAUUCACUGGGCGUAAAGGGUGCGUAGGCGGUUAAUUAAGUCAGUGGUGAAAUCCUGGAGCUCAACUUCAGAACUGCCAUUGAUACUGGUUGACUUGAGUACAGACGAGGUUGGCGGAAUUGAUGGUGUAGCGGUGAAAUGCAUAGAGAUCGGGAGGAACACCAGAGGCGAAGGCGGCGACCUGGACAGCGACUGACACUCAACUGCGAAAGCGUGGGGAGCAAACAGG